UUAAAAGAUUGACAUAACAAUAAAUUGAAAUUUAUUGAAAGAAAUUUUUAAACGUUUUUGUGAAUUAUUUGUGUGUGAAAAUAUUUUUUGUGGCCGUUAUGUUGUGUCCUGAAGGAGUGCAUGUUCCCAAUGAUAAUUUAGAUAAAGAAGAAGAAACUGAUAGAAAGAAAACCAAAAAGAUUCCGGGUGAAGGUAGUGGAAGCUUAGAGCUACAUUCUUUCAAAAAUCCAAAGACUUGGAAAAAAUCUAUUACAAAUUUCUUCCGACAUCAAUUGAGAUCAACAAAAUCGAAUGAUGGUGAUCGUCCGUCUGGAAGUAAGGAAAGUUUUGAAGAUAAAGAUAUAAGUCCUGAGCAAAAAUGGCAGUCUUUAGGCAAGGUAUUUAGACGCCAAAGUUUUGUUGAGCAUUGGAACAAAUCUACAAACCAGCAAGGGGAGUGUUCAUCACCGAGCAAAAGACUAGCCGUGAGAAAAGUACUAUCCAAUUAUUUUGGGAAAUCUCAAAAGUCCGUUCCAGAUGAUAAAUAAUUUUAUUUCUGUAGCCUCUUACUUAAUUUAAUAAACAAUAAAAUAUUUUAAACUAA